rnacentral:misc_RNA from 1 species
AACGGUCUAUACCUGCGGUACCUGCGGAGGGAUCAUCAUUGAAAAAAAAUUUUUCAAGCCAGAAAAAGGAAACCUUUUUCUGGCUUGCAAACAACAUAAAUACCCAAAAAGAGGAAAAGUUUUCUUAGAAGGGGGAGGGAGAAAAAGAGGGGAAAAAAAACUCCCCCUUUUUUUUCCCGAUCCCAAAAGGAAAACGGGAAUUUCACAAAAUUUUUUGGUGAUGUGAUUGCCUGAUAUAAA